rnacentral:rRNA from 1 species
UACGUAGGGGGCAAGCGUUGUCCGGAUUUAUUGGGCGUAAAGCGCGUGUAGGCGGCCACGCAGGUCUGCUGUGAAAACUCGAGGCUCAACCUCGAGCUGUCGGUGGAAACCGCGUGGCUAGAGUCCGGAAGAGGAGACUGGAAUUCCCGGUGUAGCGGUGAAAUGCGCAGAUAUCGGGAGGAACACCAAUGGCGAAGGCAGCUCGCUGGGACGGUACUGACGCUGAGACGCGAAAGCGUGGGGAGCAAACAGGG